rnacentral:rRNA from 1 species
UACGUAGGGGGCAAGCGUUGUCCGGAUUUAUUGGGCGUAAAGAGCUCGUAGGCGGUCUGUCGCGUCUGCUGUGAAAACUCAGGGCUUAACCCUGAGCUUGCAGUGGGUACGGGCAGACUAGAGUGCGGUAGGGGAGACUGGAAUUCCUGGUGUAGCGGUGGAAUGCGCAGAUAUCAGGAGGAACACCGGUGGCGAAGGCGGGUCUCUGGGCCGUAACUGACGCUGAGGAGCGAAAGCAUGGGGAGCGAACAGG